rnacentral:rRNA from 1 species
UACGUAGGGGGCUAGCGUUGUCCGGAAUCAUUGGGCGUAAAGAGCGUGUAGGCGGCUUGGUAAGUCCGCUGUGAAAGUCCAGGGCUCAACCCUGGAAUGCCAGUGGAAACUGUCAAGCUAGAGUCCGGAAGAGGCGAGUGGAAUUCCUGGUGUAGCGGUGAAAUGCGCAGAUAUCAGGAGGAACACCAAUGGCGAAGGCAGCUCGCUGGGACGGUACUGACGCUGAGACGCGAAAGCGUGGGGAGCGAACAGG